rnacentral:rRNA from 1 species
UACGUAGGUGGCAAGCGUUGUCCGGAAUUACUGGGUGUAAAGGGAGCGCAGGCGGGAAGCCAAGUCAGCUGUGAGAACUACGGGCUUAACUUGUAGACUGCAGUUGAAACUGGUUUUCUUGAGUGAAGUAGAGGUUGGCGGAAUUCCGAGUGUAGCGGUGAAAUGCGUAGAUAUUCGGAGGAACACCGGUGGCGAAGGCGGCCAACUGGGCUUUAACUGACGCUGAGGCUCGAAAGUGUGGGGAGCAAACAGG